GUUCGUUUGGGCAGGUGUGAACACAGCAAUCACACUCAGGUGUGCACCAAAACAACCGGACCGAGACCUUCUUGAAGAGGUGGUCUCAGUCCGGUUACAAAGGAACUCUGGUGCGGUUGGUUUGUGGUGAGAAGGUGUUCCGACCUGGAU